CUACUAGCCCUUCCGUCCGAAAAUACUUGUCAUCAAAUGGAUAAAAAUGGAUGUAUGUAGAACAAAAGUACAUCUAGAUACAUCUCCUUUUAUUUAUUUUGAUGACAAAUAUUUUCAGACGGGGGGAGUAGUAG
rfam:Triticum aestivum genome assembly, contig: Triticum_aestivum_CS42_TGACv1_scaffold_130392_2BL